AUGAGCGACCGCAGCGAGCAGAACUACGGCCAGCGGGAAUACCAUUCUGCUUCCAGAAGUGGACGUGCACAUGGAUCGGGGAAGUCUGCAAGGCAUGCCCCUGCAAGGUCUCGCUCCAAGGAAGACUCCAGGCGCUCAAGAUCAAAGUCAAGGUCCAGAUCUGAAUCUAGGUCUAGAUCCAGAAGAAGUUCUCGGAGGCAUUGUACAAGGUCCCGGUCUCGAUCCCGCUCCCCUAGACGUUCCCGUAGCAGGUCUUACAGUCAGCCACAGCCAUUCUCCUAUGGCUACUCAUGUUGGGAAUCGGGCAAAUCCUGAUCCCAACUGUUGUCUUGGCGUGUUUGGUUUGAGGUUGUACACCACCGAAAGAGACCUCCGAGAAGUAUUCUCUAAAUAUGGCCCCAUUGCCCAUGUGUCCAUUGUGUAUGACCAGCAGUCCAGGCGUUCCAGAGGAUUUGCCUUUGUGUAUUUCGAAAAUGUAGCCAAGGAGGCUAAAGAACGUGCCAGUGGAAUGGAACUUGAUGGACGUAGGAUAAGCGUUGAUUUCUCUAUAACAAACAGACCACAUACCCCAACACCAGGAAUUUACAUGGGAAGACCUACCUAUGGCAGCUCACAUCGCCGUGAUUAUUAUGACAGAGGCUAUGAUGGAGGAUAUGAUGAUCGGGAUUACUACAGCAGGUCAUACAGGAGAGGAGGUGGAGGAGGAGGUGGAUGGAGAGCUGCACAAGACCGGGAUCAAAUUUACAGAAGAAGGUCACCUUCUCCUUACUACAGUCGAGGAGGAUACAGGUCACGUUCUCAAUCUAGAUCUUAUUGGCCACGUCGUUAUUAGAGCAUGAAGUUGGAAAGUUUCUGAAACCUGCCAUAGAGCUGGAAUA